CGGCGCGCUUAACACAUGCAAGUCGAACGAGAAANUCGGGGCAACCUGGUGAGUAAAGUGGCGUACGGGGGAGUAACACGGGGAUAAUCUACCCUGGAGUGGGGAAUAACGCUGGGAAACCGGCGCUAAUACCGCAUAAUCCCGAGAGGGCAAAGGAGCAAUUCGCUUCGAUAGGAGUCCGCGGCCGAUUANCUAGUUGGCAGGGUAAAAGCCUACCAAGGCAACUAUCGGUAGCCGGACUGANAGGCGACACGGCCACACUGGCGCUGAAACAGGGGCCGAACUCCUACCGGAAGUCCUACUGGGGAAUCUUGCGCAAUGGGGGGAACCCUGAUGCAACGACUGCGCCUGAGCGAUGAAGCCCUUCAUGGUGGAAAGCUCUUUCGGCAGGGAAUAUUAUGACGGCACCUGCAGAAGGAGCUGCCGUUAACUACAAGCCCCCANCCGCUACAAUACGUAAGCAGCAAGCGUUGUUCGGAGGUACUGGGCGUAAAGGGUGUGUAGGCGGACUUAUAACUUUGGUGUGAAACCUCCCGGCUCGACCGGAAGUGUGCGUCNAACACUGGGCGGCUAGAGAAUCGGAUGAGANAGAAGAAUUUACGGNGNANUGGAGAAAUGGGUANAUAUCNGAANGAAUANCUGNUGNGUAGACNGAUCUCUGGAGCAUGACUGACUCUGAGACAANAAAGACUGUGAAGAAAACAGGAUUAGAUACCCUGG
rnacentral:rRNA from 1 species